UUUUCCGAUUUUCCCCAAUUUCUUCCAUGCUUCUAGUCCAAGCUUUGACCAGUUUGCCCUAAAUCUUCGAGUCUUCGACGAGUUCUGCCCUAAAUCUUCCAACCAGCUAGCUUCUCCGCUUUUCCAAGCUUUGAUUGGACCGAGCUUCAACCAGGUACCUUCUCCAAGUGGCAGGUACCUUCUCGACUGUUCCGAGCUUCGACCGGGGGCAGGGCAGGUAUAUUACCUUCUCCAAACUUCGAUUCUGAGCUCUAAUUCUCCCUUCCCCAAACUCAUGCUUGCUCGAUUGAGCCGAUUUUGUACUCUCUCUCUCUCUUUCUCUUUGUAGCCAGUCUAUCUUCGAUUUUGGGCAGUGGGUAGUGUAUCUUCGAUUCUGUACAUAUAGAUGCUUAUGAAAUAUAGUUGUAGCAUAUAGGUGUUUAUGAAACAUAUUUAGUAUAGAGGUACAGUGGUUACCUUAGCUUUGUUCUUUUUUCUUUGCAUAUAUACUUCUGGAGAUGGGUUUAGUUCUGUUAAGAGGUUCUAGAGCAGUGGAGUGGUCUUGUUAUUUUCAUUUAACAUCGCUCCUUGACAGGUUUUGAGAAAAGUAGAUUCUUUGAGGAAGAAGGUGAUUUCUUUUGGCAAGGUACAUGCCUCUCAUUGUGCAAAGGUUAAUCCCCAGUCUGUACAUAUUUUCAGAAUAUCCUAUAACCAGUUUAAAUUUGUUACAGAUGCCUUGUGCUUUUAAGACUUAUUAUUGAUUUGUGGUCUUUUUUUGAAUGAACAAUGAUUGAUUUUUCCUGCUCAGGAAAGUAUGAUACAUAUAUAUAUGUUAUUUUUUUAAUUA